AUUGAACGCUGGCGGCAGGCCUAACACAUGCAAGUCGAACGGUAACAGAAAGCAGCUUGCUGCUUUGCUGACGAGUGGCGGACUGGUGAGUAAUGUCUGGGAAACUGCCUGAUGGAGGGGGAUAACUACUGGAAACGGUAGCUAAUACCGCAUAACGUCGCAAGACCAAAGAGGGGGACCUUCGGGCCUCUUGCCAUCGGAUGUGCCCAGAUGGGAUUAGCUAGUAGGUGGGGUAAAGGCUCACCUAGGCGACGAUCCCUAGCUGGUCUGAGAGGAUGACCAGCCACACUGGAACUGAGACACGGUCCAGACUCCUACGGGAGGCAGCAGUGGGGAAUAUUGCACAAUGGGCGCAAGCCUGAUGCAGCCAUGCCGCGUGUAUGAAGAAGGCCUUCGGGUUGUAAAGUACUUUCAGCGGGGAGGAAGGGAGUAAAGUUAAUACCUUUGCUCAUUGACGUUACCCGCAGAAGAAGCACCGGCUAACUCCGUG
rnacentral:rRNA from 1 species